AUGAAGGUAGCAGGAGAGUGGGGAAUUAACCCCACACCGACGAGGCAACUUUGUUUUGGGAUCUUUCCCGAUACAAAGCACUCUUUCAGGUGCCGCAAGGCGUGGACUGUUACUGGACG
rnacentral:ncRNA from 2 species